CUCUCUGGGUCACCAGCAGUUCUUGAUUCAUCCAGCCACGUCUGUCUGCCCCUCUCCCCCGCCAAUGGGACUCAUUCGGGGGGAAGGGGGGCAGACAGACGUGGCUGGGUGAACCAAGAACUGCUGGUGCCCCUGAAGAAGAAACGAACAUUUCCUCUCCGGGCCACCAGCAGCUCUUGGUUGAGCUGCUGGCGCCCCGGAGAACAGGUCACCAGCAGCCAAGAGCUGUUGGUGACCCAGAGAGGAAAUAGAACCGUCGGUGGUCUAAUCUGUCUAAUGUCCUUCACCAGAUAGCCUCGAAUCCAACCCAAGCACUAGGCAACAGUGGCGCUUCUAUGGCUUUCUGACUGGCUACCUAACCUCCAUCUCUGGGCACCGCUGUGGAGUCUUCCAGAAUCUCACAAUCCAGGAGGUUGAAGAGGCCUCCAGAAGCCCCGACGAGUCUGCUUAUGUCAUUAACGCAAAGAAUGCACACUCUUCAGAGGAUCGCCGCAAGGUGGCGCAAUUCAUGUGCCAUGACACUUCAACCUCAGAUAAGUUCUACGCACUUCACCUCGGACCUCUCCAAGCACGCGAGCGC